AACGAACGCUGGCGGCAGGCUUAACACAUGCAAGUCGAAUGCAUCGCAAGAUGAGUGGCAGACGGGUGAGUAACGCGUGGGAACAUACCCUUUUCUACGGAAUAGCUCUGGGAAACUGGAAUUAAUACCGUAUACGCCCUACGGGGGAAAGAUUUAUCGGGGAAGGAUUGGCCCGCGUUGGAUUAGCUAGUUGGUGGGGUAAAGGCCUACCAAGGCGACGAUCCAUAGCUGGUCUGAGAGGAUGAGCAGCCACAUUGGGACUGAGACACGGCCCAAACUCCUACGGGAGGCAGCAGUGGGGAAUAUUGGACAAUGGGCGCAAGCCUGAUCCAGCCAUGCCGCGUGAGUGAUGAAGGCCUUAGGGUUGUAAAGCUCUUUCACCAAUGAAGAUAAUGACGGUAGUCGGAGAAGAGGCCCCGGCUAACUUCGUGCCAGCCGCCGCAGUAA
rnacentral:rRNA from 1 species